GACGUAGGGCGCGAGCGUUGUCCGGAUUUAUUGGGCGUAAAGAGCUCGUAGGCGGUUUGUUGCGUCGGCUGUGAAAUCCCGAGGCUCAACCUCGGGUCUGCAGUCGAUACGAGCAAACUAGAGUGUUGCAGGGGAGACUGGAAUUCCUGGUGUAGCGGUGAAAUGCGCAGAUAUCAGGAAGAACACCCGUGGCGAAAGCGGCUCUCUGGAACGGUACUGACGCUGAGACGCGAAAAGCGUGGGGAGCGAACAGG
rnacentral:rRNA from 1 species